rnacentral:rRNA from 1 species
ACUCAAAUGAAUAGACGGGGGCCCGCACAAGCGGAGGAGCAUGUGGUUUAAUUCGAUGAUACGCGAGGAACCUUACCCGGGCUUGAAUUGCAAUGGAAGAAUGUGGAAACACAUUCGUCUUCGGACCAUUGUGAAGGUGCUGCAUGGUUGUCGUCAGCUCGUGCCGUGAGGUGUUAGGUUAAGUCCUGCAACGAGCGCAACCCUUACACUUAGUUGCCAGCACGUUAAGGUGGGGACUCUAGGUGAACUGCCUACGCAAGUAGAGAGGAAGGUGGGGAUGACGUCAAAUCAGCACGGCCCUUAUGUUCGGGGCUACACACGUGCUACAAUGGUCGGUACAGAGGGCAGCUACCACGCGAGUGGAUGCUAAUCUCAAAAGCCGAUCUCAGUUCGGAUCGGAGUCUGUAACUCGACUCCGUGAAGUUGGAUUCGCUAGUAAUCGCGCAUCAGCCAUGGCGCGGUGAAUACGUUCCCGGGCCUUGUACACACCGCCCGU